UGAGCCACUGUGCCUGGCCAUCUCUGAGGGAUUUUAACGAGUUGUUGACUUUUGAGUUUGUUCAGCUGUUUACUUACUGAUAGAAUCAAGUGACAAAUUUCAAGCUUGUUAUACCCCUGACAGGAAACCAGAAGUCUCUAGGAAUUGACUGGAGAAUAUGAGCUUAAUAGUAGGUUGAGGAUGGAGUCACGAGUGAAAUGGGUGAAGUCAGCCCAUGGGCUUUGGAGACUGCAGACCUGUCCAGCCUCUGACACCCUGGUGAGUCAGUGCAAAGAUUAGAAGAGUGACAGCAAACUAGCAUGGCUGACUCCAUCUGGCAUCUAGUCUCAGGCUGGCUGUCCUCACUCAUUCCUGGACAUAGGCCAGGCUAACCAUGGGAGGAAUUUAGUUUAUGGUUUAACUUUGAAGCAAGAAUGAUAAUAGUUCCUCCAUAACACUAAUACCCUUCUUUUGCCCAGGGAUUGCCUUUGUAAAACUGGAGAAAGAUCAUGAGACUAAGAUUAUUGGAGGGAACUGAAUUCUACUAAAAUGAGGCCAGAAAAACUUGUCUGGGAAUUGUAAGAGUGGAUGGAGGAGCUGCCUAUCCCUGUCCCACGGUCUUGUCCACAGAACAGUCUCACAAAGGGAAAUAGCCGUGGAUGGGAAUACAGUGGAAGCUUCUUCUCUUAGUGACCUGGAGACAUUGGUUCGAGAUGAAGCCUGGCAGGAGUGGCAACUCCAGGUGAUUUCUGUGCCUUUCCUAUUUCCUGGGAGUGGGCCAGGCCACAGUGUUAGCAGGAAGGGAACAGAACAGUCAGCCUAGUUAGAGGGAGUGUCUGGGGAAGGCCUAGGGGUGGAGGAAGAAGCUGUGCAGGACAGGGCUUGCCAGUUAGAAUGAAAUGGGAGGAAGAUGAGGGACACAGAGAAGCAGAGCGAGGCAGAGACACCACCGCAGUGAACAAUGGGGCCUACAGUGACUUCAGAGACCCCAGGGACCAGGUGCCCCCAUUUCCACAGUCCAGGACCAGGUAGCCCUCAAAACUCUCCAGCGGCCAAAGAGCUUCAGAGUUACACAUGAGGUGGGGUGGCUUUAGGGACAAGAGGUAGUGGGGGGAUGAAACAUGGGUGUCAGUCUCUGAAGGACAAGGGACAGGUGUGGCUAGAACUUCGUAGGAUUCUGCAUUCAAGAUCCAGUCUCUAAAGAGGUUAUGGAUCAUUCAUUUCUUCAUUCAAUUCCUUCAUUUGUUAUGUGAGAGCACCUGAGGGUGUGUCUCUCACUGGGCCUGUGCUGGUGCAGGGUGUGGGUGGGGAAAACAAACAAGGUCCUCUCUUUUAUCCUGUCAUACCAGUGACAUGGACACUUUGGAAAACGCAGGAUUUCAGGUUCAGUGAUAGGGGUUAAGAUCUGAGGGGGAGAUCUGGACAUAUUUUGCACUGACUCUGAUGGUUGAGGCAGGUGAUUUAGUUCUGGAGAACACACUAAUCAGCUGACCAUUUGCUCUCACUCCUCUGAGGUUUGGAUGCCUAAGAAGAGAGGAUUUGAGCCAAUAAAUGACUAUGGGGUCCUUGGAAUCCAAUAAGCCAUCACUUCUGGUGGAGGAGAGGAUGGGCCUGUGGCUGCAGACAGACCUCAUGUGACCCUGAUCUGCCUUUUGUGUUUGUGUGAUUCUGGUUCAGUGACUGUGCCUUCCUGUGCCUCAGUUUUCUCUCAGUCAAAUAAGCUAAAUGGCAAAUG